UCUCCUCUUUCCCCCUCAUCCCACCUCCCUCUCGGCCGCCUCGUCUUCUCCACCUCCGCCUCCACCACAACCGAUGGCUCCAUGCCGGCUGUGAAUAGUGCGAGCGAGCGGGGCGAUAGGAAAAGAAGAGCGAGCCCUUCCCCCUCCCCCCUCCCUCAAGAACCCUAGCCGCUGCCUCCUCCUCCUCCCGCCUCAGCCGCCUCCCGCCUCCCCUCCACCCCUCCCGCAUCUCGUCCGCCCAGAGUGCGGAGGCGAGCUUCUCGACGACGGUGGCGCUGGCUCGAGGCCGGGGAGCGGCCGAUGCGGCCCUCCUUCUCGACGACGGUGGCGCUGGCUCGAGGCCGGGGAGCGGCCGAUGCGGCCCUCCUUCUCCGCCAUCACCGAUUCUCCUGGCUGUGGUGAUGGCAGCGCGGCGGAGCUCGUCGUCGACCGGCGGGCGGCACCAGGCGGCGGCGCGACCAUUAGCAUCGGCACCAGCGCACGAGGUCACGGGGCGUGAGGAGAGGGAGGGGAUAGAUGCGUGGGCCGUGGGGAGUAGGAGCCCGUGGUCAUGGCGGCGCAACGGAGGUCGUGGCCGGGCCCUUGUCCCAACCGUCAAGCCAUUGGGGAGGUGAAGAUGGUGAUGGCGGCAGUAGAAGCGCGCGGAGCAGCAGAAACAUCAUCCCUCCUUGCCUUGUUCUUUUAUCUCUUCCUAAUAGUUUGUUGGUCGAAUUUAUAGGAUUCUUAAUCGGCAGAUCAGGAAUCACCUCCCCAUUCAGCUAAGCUACAUGUCUUUUGCUUAUAUUUUGUCCUUUCUUGUACUUACAUCUCAUGCUGUGUGGAUUUCCUAUGGCUCAAGUUUGUUGCUGCGCUCAGGUUUCAGCAAUUGCUGCACCUGCAAAUUUGGGGUUGAGUGUACAGUUUACUUUCAGUCAAAAGCUAUGCUAUUUUCAGCACAAGAUAUUAUAUGUGGUCUUUGACAGAUUUGAUUGAUUUUGGCUGAUGUACAUGAAUGACAGUGGAUGGACAAGGAUUGAGGGAAUGUAGAAGCGGCUUCGUCAGCGUGUGUCGAGAUUCUUAGCGAGCAGUUCCUUGGACAAGGAUUGAAAAAUUUAAGUAUGUACUUAUUCCUGUGUGCAGAUUACCAUGAACAAGACAACUGAAGGUUAAUAAUCUUCCUCUUAUUUUGCAUCCUUGAUUAAUUUAUAGCAUUCAUAGUAAUACCACAUGUAUACAGCUAAUGUCUAUUUGUUUGUUUCAACUGACACUUUCUUGCCGGCAAGCAACACUGACCUCAGGCAUCUACAACUCAUUGCCUUUGCUUUGUUGAUUUAUAUAAAAAAGGAAUUUCAGGCUGCCAUUUAUGUGAACAUUUUUUCUGUUGCAGAUUUUACCUGCUCGACAAAGUCCAAUGAAAGAAGUACAAUGUAUCAUUGAUUAUAGCUAAAGCAGAUGGACAAGGAUUGAGGGAAUGUAGAAGCGGCUUUGUCAUCGUGUGUCGAGGUUCUUAGCAAGCAGUUCCUCUGAGAUGGUUUCAGGUCGCUGAUUGUUUUCUACCCUAUGCACACAAGAUGUCUCCCCUUUUAUAGUUACCGCUUGGAUAGGAUACGUGGAGUUCAUAUUCUAUCAGAUUUUAUCCCUGAGUAAUUUGGUCCUAAAGAUGUCAGGUUUAAGAAUGUGCCACUUUAAUGUCUGUUGUGCGGCCUCGGUUACACAUAAUUUGUUCCUAAAGAUGUCAUUUCAGAAUGUGCCACUUUAAUGUCUGUUGUGCGGCCUCUGUUACACAUAAUUGCACUUUUGUCCUUAUGUCUUCGAUUUUGCUUUCAGAGGUUCUUAGUGCUAGAAAUAUUAUUGUUCCAGAUUUUAGCUGUACUACUCAUGCCACUCUUUUUUUAUUGCUUUGUAGCUGAAGGAUUAGUGAGACUGUUUGGGCUGAAUUCUGAUUUUGUAGCACUUAUUCCAUGUGAGGCAGGUAGCAUAUUGAUAUCAUCCAGAAAUAAUAGUGUCAUCUCAACUUCUAAAUAAGAAUCUAGCAGAUGUGCCUACUGGUUUAUGAUGGCACCGUAAAUAAUAGUGACAUCUGUUUUGUAUCUUGCUUGUAGUGUCCAGAUUUCCAAUUUUGUUGCUAUAUCUUUGGCGGUGAGUUGAUAUCGAUUUAUUAGUUCUAGAGACAAAAGAAAUUUGAAAGCGUGAAUUUUAUCUAAUCCAUGUUGUGCUUCCAACUUUGAAGACUGGAGAAGAUGUAAUUCUGUUUGACCUCUCUUUCAUUAAUCCUUUAGGAAAUAUAUAUGAUGUAGGAGAGUUACACUAUCAAAUGUUUGGAAUUCUUCUUCCAUGUUGAGAUGGGAUGCAUAUAGUUAAUGACAUGCUUUUGAGUUCAUAUAGACAGUUCAUCAUAGAAAAUGCACCGCACUGUAUUUUCUUUAUAUAUGAAUUUAGAAUACAUCAUUACUAUUUUAUCGAUCAUUCUUACUGGUUUCUAAUCAUGAUAUUUGGCAUUCUCUUGCACAAGGAUGUUGUGGUAUGGUAGUUCUUAUUUUUUGUGAACCGAUUCUAUCGUGCUUCUACUUCUACGUGUUUGUUGAUGAUUGAACGGAGGUUAGAUUAGAUUAUUGCCAUGGUAGUUCUCAUCUUCUUUAUCUGAAGUAGUAAGUUUGUUUGAUGUUUUCUAGCUUUCCUUCGAUUAUGAAAAUUCCCAAAGAAUGUCCCAUUGUCACUUCAAGGAGUAGCAGCUGAUAUUGGUGCUUCCACCUCCGCGUCAUGCCCGGGCCGAACUGCCACACCCCCUGGUUCUCCACAUUUUCUCUUUGGUGUUUUAUACAUUCAGUUAUAUCCUAUCUUAUCCAGUAUGUCUCAUAUCUUAGUUGAUUUGCAGUUUGUACUCUACUUUACAAACAUUGUAGAAAUAUUCUACUAACAGCUUAUUUUCUACUGUUUGGUUGUUUAAACUAAGAAAUUAAAUCUGGACCCGUACAAAUCUUGAGUAAAAUAUAUGCUAAUUAGUUCCUCUUGUUUAAUCUAUUCUAGGAUUGGGCACUACACAUAGAGCUAAAAAGUUACAUUGCCAUUUUGAGUGCAAACAAACAGGUUAGGUGGUGUGUACCUUAUUUCAGGAUCAACAAUCGGUGAAUUGGAUCUAAGGUUUGAGUUAGUACUGAGCAUUGUGUAUUCUAGAUGGACUAAUUGAGUGUGCUAAUUGAACCAUAUUCAUGGUGUUAGUCUGAAGUCAGAUUAUGCGAUUCACUCGCAUUAAUGCCAUUACUAUUGGUACAUUAGAUGAAUUGGGAGAGUUAAGUUAUGGGCUUCUUGCCAAUUACAUAAAAAAGGACAGACCCAGUGCAUAGAAGCUCCCACACAAGGUGGGGUCUGGGGAGGGAUUAUAGGAACCUAGUCUUACCCCUGCAAAGUGCAAUGCAGAGAGGCUGGUUCGAACCCAGGACCUCUUGGCACAAGUGGGGAGGACUUCACCACUGCGCCAGGCCUGCCCUCGCUUCUUGCCAAUUACAUGCCCACAAAUUAUACGUUGUGACAACUUUUCUCUUUAUGACGAGCAUGUGAUGUCGUAAGUUUCCUUUGGAGGACGUGGGGUCAUUUUCUGUCUAUUAAAUAUCUGCUUUGUGCUUUUGGAAGUGUCUAGCAGGGCCACAACUUAUGAAUGUAGUUGCAAUAAUGCACAAGAACUUCUUGUCAUUAGUUAAGAAAAUAAACUAUGGGUCAUUUUAACCACAUCAUUUCACCUUUUCAGUGUCAGCUAAGGUAUUCUGGUUUCUUGAGGUGGUUUGACUAUUUGAGUUUCCAUUGGUUACAGGUGUGUAUGUCCCUGAUGACAUGUUGCCCAAAAUCAACAUUUGUAGCUUCUUUAUAUAUGGCUUUCUCUCUUUCCAUCAUGAAGUUUAAUUGAUUUAUAUUCCAAAUGGGCUUAUUCUUACAAUCCAUUCCUUGCUAAUUUAAUUUUUAUUUUGCCUUGCUGGUCUUGAAUUUAUACUUUUAACUUAUUUCUGUGUGCUAUGCUUCUUUGACUACAUGUAAUCCUCUUCUGUCCUUGGUUCAGAUCAAAUGUGGAGUCCACUUCUUUCCUUGGUUCAGAUCAAAUGUGGAGAUGAUGUUUUUUUUUCCGCUAUGACUAUUAUUUUCACCUUGGUGACAGUCUCACGAAUCCUCUUUCCUUUCUUUUGUUGAUGUCUUGCCUCCUGUGUACUGAUAGAGGCAUAUAACAGAUGCAUGUCUCGGAUUAGAGAACUAUGAUUGUCCAUCUAUUUUAUAUUUUUCAUUUACCUCUUACGAGUAGUUUCCCUAAGUAGAAAAAAUGCAUUUUUCAGCCAUAUUGCUUUAUUAUCCUUUUUUGUGGGAACAAUACGAAGCCACACUAUGGUGUGCUCUGUUCCCAAUUUUACAAACUGGCAAGUUGCUGCUUGAUUUUGUUUCUUUCAGAUUUUUGUGUGCCUUUCUCCGUUAGAAUGUUUCUCCUCAACGACCAUAUCGAUCUGGCUGGCGUUCGCAACUGUGAUUUUGGUUGAACUGUGCAUGAUCAUCCCUCUAUUCAAAUUGUUGCUUCUCAAGGAUAUUUGCAAACCUAUCAACUCAAGCAAACUAUGAUUCAAAUUUCGUGAAAUGCAAGUAUUUCUUCUGUAAUGGUAAAAUAGGAAGAAUGCUUAACUGGGAUGCUUCAAGCAGGUUUCCUGCUUAUCACCCAUAUGAAACCUAACAUAUGAUUUUUUAUUUACAAUAAUAUAUAUGCAUUUUCCUAUAAAUAUUGGGGAAGUAAACUUCUGGUGCUUUAGAAACAACCCUGCACAUAUAUAUCAGGUGACGUAUUGGCUUGCAGGUAUGCUCCGGCUAGGUUGUUUCUUCUCUUCCUUAGGCUAUGGUUGCAACCGUUGGCUGCUAUGUUGGUCUUGAUGUAUUUGCUUUUUUAUAAGCUUAUAGUUUGAAAAACUGUAUACAAUGAUUCCUAAUUUGAUGCCAAUAGCUCGUGUGAGCAUCCACAGUGAUGGGUUCUUGUGCGGAUUAUUAGAGGCAGCAUCACCGUCGUGGAGUACAUGUACAUCAAUGCCGAUGGUGCCGGCAGCAACGACACAAGGUGGGCGAUUUGACCAGCGCAACAUUCUUAUUUGAGGAGUUGUGCGCAGUUCUGAAACAAUUAAGUUGUGCUUGGUGACACGCCUCAUUUCUGUGGUUGAAUAUUUGUGUUACCAUUUUCUCCCUUGCUGUGGAAAGCCACCAGCUUCAGGGAGUGCCAGGCUUCCACACAGCUAGAACAGACGCCACCUUUGGCAGGGAGCGUGAGGAUUUGGCUUGUCGAUAUGAGUGAUAGCAGCGCCAUGUGCAGAUUCCGCAGAUUCAAGCUGUAACGGAAGCUGCCAGGCUGCCGAGAUGAAGAUGGAGCCGCUGUGGCGCUGCGCCUCCAAGCUGCCGGGCCGCCAAUAUGCAGUUGGAGCCGCAGUGCCUCCGAGCUGCAGUGGGAGCCACUCCCCCGUCAAGCUACAUCGUGAUCCGCCGCGAAGAUGGAGCCUAGCGUGAGCCGCCUCCACCAGGUGCUUUCUCGAGUACAGUGGGGAGAGGAAGAGGAUGAACUGGUCGAUGGAAUCAAGGCUAACAGUCCACCACGUGGUUAUCUCCGGCGUUAUAUGUCCAGACUCCAGAGUGUGGUUCUUUGCCACAAUGGCACGGUUGUAAAUUUAUCUUUGGUGCUAAUUUGUACUUUAUGUAACUGGUAUAAUCUUUAUUGUUUCAUCAAAUUUAUUCCCACUUAUCUUAAUAUAAGAGCAUCUACAACCACAAGUAUCAAAA